AGCCGGAAUAAUUCCUCAGGUGCUGGUUGCUGAGGCAACUGGAGGGAACUAAUGAUCCCCACCUGCCUAGCCAGCUGAAGGAAGGGGCAGGGCCUGGCUCCUAUAUAAAUCACAGGCAGGAGGCCAGGAGGCAGUUCCCUACCGGCAGCCAAGGAAGAAAAAGCUCUCAGUCAUGAAAGAAAGGAGAAGCCAGAGGCAGGAGCAACGUCUGACACUGCUGAGGGAUGAAGAAACCCCGUGUUUCAGAGCCGGAAUGGUUGCAGAGGACUUCUACCAAAAAAGUGUUACACCAUGACACAGCAACUAUCACACAUGUCCAUACAGCUGGAGUUGGUUUGAUUCCAUCCUGAGUCCUCAUGAUUACAUCAACAGAAGGCUUUCUUCAUUAAAGUACUCUUAUAGCACCCAGGAAUGAAUUAAAGCUUCUAUGAGGUCUGUUCUCUACAA